GCGGCCUUCCUGGACCCUAGAGAUAGGGCUUUCCCCUUCGGGGGACAGAGUGACAGGUGGUGCAUGGUUGUCGUCAGCUCGUGUCGUGAGAUGUUGGGUUAAGUCCCGCAACGAGCGCAACCCUUGAUCUUAGUUGCCAGCAUUCAGUUGGGCACUCUAAGGUGACUGCCGGUGACAAACCGGAGGAAGGUGGGGAUGACGUCAAAUCAUCAUGCCCCUUAUGACCUGGGCUACACACGUGCUACAAUGGAUGGUACAAAGGGCUGCAAACCUGCGAAGGUAAGCGAAUCCCAUAAAGCCAUUCUCAGUUCGGAUUGCAGGCUGCAACUCGCCUGCAUGAAGCCGGAAUCGCUAGUAAUCGCGGAUCAGCAUGCCGCGGUGAAUACGUUCCCGGGUCUGUACCACACCGA
rnacentral:rRNA from 1 species